GAUGAACGCUGGCGGCGUGCUUAAUACAUGUAAGUCGAACGAGGUGCUUUUGUCUUCGGAUGGAAGUAUCCUAGUGGCGAACGGGUGAGUAACGCGUUGGUGACCUGCCCCAAAGUGUGGGAUAACAACUCGAAAGGGUUGCUAAUACCGCAUGUGAUCGCUUGGAUUAGACGCCUUGCGAUUAAAGGUGCAAACCGCUUUGGGAGGGACCUGCGUCCCAUCAGCUAGUUGGUAGGGUAAUAGCCUACCAAGGCAAUGACGGGUAGGGGACCUGAGAGGGUGACCCCCCACAUUGGCACUGAAACACGGGCCAGACACCUACGGGUGGCAG
rnacentral:rRNA from 1 species